ACCCUCUGAAAAUUACCAACAGUAUUAUUAGUUACUGUGGGUAAGAUAAGUGUGCCUACAUUAAAUGGUACACUAAAGCUUAUUGCCCACCUAGGUAUUGCUUGUGGUCAAUAAAACCCGUGUGCCAAUAAAC